rnacentral:rRNA from 1 species
AGCAGCCGCGGUAAUUCCAGCUCCAAUAGCGUAUAUUAAAGUUGUUGCAGUUAAAAAGCUCGUAGUUGAAUUUCGGGGUUAGUAGGUUGGUCAUGCCUCUGGUAUGUACUGGUCUCACUGAUUCCUCCUUCCUGAUGAAUCUUAAUGCCAUUUAUUUGGUGUUUUGGGGAAUUUGGACUGUUACUUUGAAAAAUUAGAGUGUUUAAAGCAAGCUAACGCUUGAAUACAUUAGCAUGGAAUAAUGAAAUAGGACGUUCGAUCCUAUUUUUGUUGGUUUCUAGGAUUUGACGUAAUGAUUAAUAGGGAUAGUUGGGGGCAUUAGUAUUCAAUUGUCAGAGGUGAAAUUCUUGGAUUUAUUGAAGACUAACUACUGCGAAAGCAUUUGCCAAGGAUGCUUUCAUUAAUCAAGAACGAAAGUUAGGGGAUCGAAGACGAUCAGAUACCGUCGUAGUCUUAACCAUAAACUAUGCCGACUAGGGAUCGGAUGAUGUUAAUUUUUAUGUACUCA